rnacentral:rRNA from 1 species
UACGAAGGGUGCAAACGUUGCUCGGAAUCAUUGGGCGUAAAGCGCACGUAGGCGGCCCCAAAAGUUGGAUGUGAAAUCCCUCGGCUCAACCGAGGACGUGCAUCCAAAACUGUGGGGCUUGAGUACUGAAGAGGAUCGCGGAAUUCCCGGUGUAGAGGUGAAAUGCGUAGAUAUCGGAAGGAACAUCAGUGGCGAAGGCGACUUUCUGGACAGCUACUGACACUGAGGCACGAAAGCGUGGGGAGCAAACAGG